rnacentral:lncRNA from 1 species
GGAAUCACUCCUUUUUUAUUUUUUCCCAAAAAGACCCUUCAGCAUUAAAGAAGCAUUAAAGAGGCAUUAAAGACCUAAUUUUUAUUAAGGGCAUAAUAGGAAUUAUACUUAACUUUCCUAGGAAAGUGGAUGGUCAACCAAACAUAAGCACUUUGGAAAUUUGUCACUUUCCCAUGGUUAACCAAACAUGCCAAAAGUACUUUCCUAAGUAUCCUCUUCCUAGGAAUCUGAUU